rnacentral:pre_miRNA from 1 species
UUGAGAGGAAUGUUGUCUGGUUCGAGGCCACUAACUUAACAACUCUUAAUUGAAACUCAAUCUAUAACCGGUUAGCAAGUGAAAGCGCUUGCGCUCGCUGGUGUUUGUUUGUUUGUGUCGUCGGACCAGGCUUCAUUCCCCUCAAUU